rnacentral:rRNA from 1 species
GUAACAAGGUCUCCGUUGGGUGACCAGCGGGGGGGAUCAUUA